AAAAAUCGAACUCGGAAGUGCUUAACUUGAAAGCAUAUUCGCAAAGUUGUGCAGCAAAGGUAAUGAGGAAAUAAAGCAAGUAAGAAGGUUUGCAGUAAUGUAAAUAGCAAUAAUGAAAUGCAAACCAGAGAUUACGCCGAUUUUAAAGUGGUUCGGUCAAAUGACCUACAUCCACUUGCGAGGCCCCUCUUCGAUGAGGC
rnacentral:lncRNA from 1 species